rnacentral:rRNA from 1 species
UACGUAGGGUGCAAGCGUUGUCCGGAAUUAUUGGGCGUAAAGAGCUCGUAGGCGGUCUGUCGCGUCUGCUGUGAAAACUCGGGGCUUAACCCCGGGCCUGCAGUGGGUACGGGCAGACUAGAGGUAGGUAGGGGAGAUCGGAAUUCCUGGUGUAGCGGUGAAAUGCGCAGAUAUCAGGAGGAACACCGGUGGCGAAGGCGGAUCUCUGGGCCUUACCUGACGCUCAGGUGCGAAAGCUAGGGGAGCAAACAGG